CCCCCGGAAGUGCUUGUCUAGGGUUCGGGCCGGAGAGAGGCCUUGAAGACACAGCCGCCCAGGCUCCGUCGGCUCCGAGUCCGGGGCUUCUGGUGGCGGAGAGAUCGCGGAGCUCCGCGGCCGCCACCCCGCGCGCUCGCAAGCGCCUUCGUACCCACGAAAUGGCCAUCAAGAAGUAGAUGCCCAGAUGUAACGGUGAAGAAAAUCCACAUGUCAUGAAGUAAGAUGCAGAAUAGUUUUCACCCAGAUGAGGACAAGAUUGCAUCUGUUUUUU